rnacentral:snRNA from 1 species
GCGCUGGCUUUGGCAGCACGUCUGCUAAAAUUUGAAUGAUACAGAGAAAAUUAGCAUGGCC